UACGUAGGGGGCAAGCGUUGUCCGGAAUCAUUGGGCGUAAAGCGCGCGUAGGCGGCCCGAUCAGUCCGCUGUAAAAGUCCAGGGCUCAACCCUGGAAAGCCGGUGGAUACUGUCGGGCUAGAGUCCGGAAGAGGCGAGUGGAAUUCCUGGUGUAGCGGUGGAAUGCGCAGAUAUCAGGAGGAACACCGAUAGCGAAGGCAGCUCGCUGGGACGGUACUGACACUGAGGUGCGAAAGCGUGGGGAGCGAACAGG
rnacentral:rRNA from 1 species